GGAGGUGACUGUGGCUCAGUAGGUAGAGUAGUUGUCUUGCAAUCAAAAGGUGGUGGGUUCGAUUCCAGCGUUCUCCU